GAUGAACGCUGGCGGCGUGCCUAAUACAUGCAAGUCGAGCGAAUGGAUUAAGAGCUUGCUCUUAUGAAGUUAGCGGCGGACGGGUGAGUAACACGUGGGUAACCUGCCCAUAAGACUGGGAUAACUCCGGGAAACCGGGGCUAAUACCGGAUAACAUUUUGAACCGCAUGGUUCGAAAUUGAAAGGCGGCUUCGGCUGUCACUUAUGGAUGGACCCGCGUCGCAUUAGCUAGUUGGUGAGGUAACGGCUCACCAAGGCAACGAUGCGUAGCCGACCUGAGAGGGUGAUAGGCCGAACUGGGACUGAGACACGGACCAGACUCCAACGGGAGGCAGCAGUAGGGAAUCUUCCGCAAGGGACGAAAGUCUGACGGAGCAACGCCGCGUGAGUGAUGAAGGCUUUCGGGUCGUAAAACUCUGUUGUUAGGGAAGAACAAGUGCUAGUUGAAUAAGCUGGCACCUUGACGGUACCUAACCAGAAAGCCACGGCUAACUACGUGCCAGCCGCCGCGGUAA
rnacentral:rRNA from 1 species